rnacentral:rRNA from 1 species
AUACGGAGGGUGCAAGCGUUAUCCGGAAUCAUUGGGUUUAAAGGGUCCGCAGGCGGAUUAAUAAGUCAGCGGUGAAAUCCUCUCGCUCAACGAGAGAACUGCCAUUGAAACUGUUAGUCUUGAAUUCGGUCGAAGUAGGCGGAAUGUGUCAUGUAGCGGUGAAAUGCAUAGAUAUGACACAGAACACCGAUAGCGAAGGCAGCUUACUAGACCUGGAUUGACGCUCAUGGACGAAAGCGUGGGGAGCGAACAGGAUUAGAAACCCCAGUAGUCCC